rnacentral:rRNA from 1 species
UUCGGGGGAAAGAAUUUCGGUGAGGGAUCGGCCCGCGUUAGAUUAGUUAGUUGGUGGGGUAAUGGCCUACCAAGACUACGAUCUAUAGCUGGUUUGAGAGGAUGAUCAGCAACACUGGGACUGAGACACGGCCCAGACUCCUACGGGAGGCAGCAGUGGGGAAUCUUAGACAAUGGGGGCAACCCUGAUCUAGCGAUGCCGCGUGAGUGAUGAAGGCCUUAGGGUCGUAAAGCUCUUUCGCCUGUGAUGAUAAUGACAGUAGCAGGUAAAGAAACCCCGGCUAACUCCGUGCCAGCAGCCGCGGUAAUACGGAGGGGGUUAGCGUUGUUCGGAAUUACUGGGCGUAAAGCGCACGUAGGCGGAUUAGUCAGUCAGAGGUGAAAUCCCAGGGCUCAACCCUGGAACUGCCUUUGAUACUGCUAGUCUUGAGUUCGAGAGAGGUAAGUGGAAUUCCGAGUGUAGAGGUGAAUUCGUAGAUAUUCGGAGGAACACCAGUGGCGAAGGCGGCUUACUGGCUCGAUACUGACGCUGAGGUGCGAAAGUGUGGGGAGCAAACAGGAUUAGAUACCCUGGGUAGUCCACA